AUGCAAGUCGAACGCGAAAGGGGCUUCGGCCCUGAGUAGAGUGGCAAACGGGUGAGUAACGCGUGGGUGACCUACCUUCGAGUGGGGGAUAACGUUCCGAAAGGAGCGCUAAUACCGCAUGAAGUUCCGGGUUUGAACAUCUGGAAACCAAAGCCGGGGAUCGCAAGACCUGGCGCUUGGAGAGGGGCCCGCGUCUGAUUAGCUAGUUGGCGGGGUAACGGCCCACCAAGGCGACGAUCAGUAGCCGGCCUGAGAGGGCGGACGGCCACACUGGGACUGAGACACGGCCCAGACUCCUACGGGAGGCAGCAGUGGGGAAUUGUUCGCAAUGGGCGCAAGCCUGACGACGCAACGCCGCGUGGGGGAUGAAGGUCUUCGGAUUGUAAACCCCUGUCGAGCGGGACGAAUGACUCGCGGUUUAACACAUCGCGGGAAUGACGGUACCGCUAAAGGAAGCCACGGCUAACUCUGUGCCAGCAGCCGCGGUAAUACAGAGGUGGCAAGCGUUGUUCGGAAUUACUGGGCGUAAAGGGCGCGUAGGCGGCCUUCUAAGUCAGACGUGAAAUCCCCCGGCUUAACCUGGGAACUGCGUCUGAUACUGGAAGGCUUGAGUGCGGGAGAGGGAUGUGGAAUUCCAGGUGUAGCGGUGAAAUGCGUAGAUAUCUGGAGGAACACCGGUGGCGAAGGCGGCAUCCUGGACCGACACUGACGCUGAGGCGCGAAAGCUAGGGUAGCAAACGGGAUUAGAUACCCCGGUAGUCCUAGCCCUAAACGAUGAGUGCUUGGUGUGGCGGGUAUCGAUCCCUGCCGUGCCGAAGCUAACGCAUUAAGCACUCCG
rnacentral:rRNA from 1 species